GACGAACGCUGGCGGCGUGCUUAACACAUGCAAGUCGAACGAAGUGGCGAACGGGUGCGUAACGCGUAAUCAACCUGCACUUCAGAGGGGGACGACAGUUGGAAACGACUGCUAAUACCGCCUCCUGCAGGAGGGGAUUGCGUCUGAUUAGCUAGUUGGAGGGGUAACGGCCCACCAAGGAUAUGAUCAGUAGCCGGUGUGAGAGGAUGAACGGCCACAUUGGAACUGAGACACGGCCCAGACUCCUACGGGAGGCAGCAGUGGGGAAUCUUCCGCAAUGGACGAAAGUCUGACGGAGCAACGCCGCGUGAGUGAUGACGGCCUGCGGGUUGUAAAGCUCUGUCAAUCGGGACGCGGUACCGGAAUAGAAAGCCACGGCUAACUACGUGCCAGCAGCCGCGGUAAUAC
rnacentral:rRNA from 1 species